rnacentral:rRNA from 1 species
GACGAACGCUGGCGGCGCGCCUAACACAUGCAAGUCGAACGAGCGAGAGAGAGCUUGCUUUCUCGAGCGAGUGGCGAACGGGUGAGUAACGCGUGAGGAACCUGCCUCAAAGAGGGGGACAACAGUUGGAAACGACUGCUAAUACCGCAUAAGCCCACGACCCGGCAUCGGGUAGAGGGAAAAGGAGCAAUCCGCUUUGAGAUGGCCUCGCGUCCGAUUAGCUAGUUGGUGAGGUAACGGCCCACCAAGGCGACGAUCGGUAGCCGGACUGUGAGGUUGAACCGACACAUUGGGGCUGAGACACGGCCCAGACUCCUACGGGAGGCAGCAGUGGGGAAUAUUGCACAAUGGGGGAAACCCUGAUGCAGCGACGCCGCGUGGAGGAAGAAGGUCUUCGGAUUGUAAACUCCUGUUGUUGAGGAAGAUAAUGACGGUACUCAACAAGGAAGUGACGGCUAACUACGUG